rnacentral:rRNA from 1 species
AGCGAACGCUAGCGGCAGGCCUAACACAUGCAGUCGAACGAACUCUUCGGAGUUAGUGGCGGACGGGUGAGUAACACGUGGGAACAUGCCUUUAGGUUCGGAAUAACUCAGGGAAACUUGUGCUAAUACCGAAUGUGCCCUUCGGGGGAAAGAUUUAUAGCCCUUAGAGCGGCCCGCGUCUGAUUAGCUAGUUGGUGAGGUAACGGCUCACCAAGGCGACGAUCAGUAGCUGGGCUGAGGGGAUGGCCAGCCACACUGGGGGUGAGACACGGCCCAGACUCCUACGGGAGGGAGCAGUGGGGAAUUUUUCGCAAUGGCCGAAAGCCUGACGCAGCCAUGCCGCGUGAAUGAUGAAGGUCUUAGGAUUGUAAAAUUCUUUCACCGGGGACGAUAAUGACGGUACCCGGAGAAGAAGCCCCGGCUAACUUCGUGCCAGCCGCCGCGGUAA